rnacentral:rRNA from 1 species
GACGUAGGGGGCAAGCGUUGUCCGGAAUCAUUGGGCGUAAAGAGCGUGUAGGCGGCCCGGUAAGUCCGCUGUGAAAGUCCAGGGCUCAACCCUGGAAUGCCGGUGGAUACUGUCGGGCUCGAAUCCGGAAGAGGUGAGUGGAAUUCCUGGUGUAGCGGUGAAAUGCGCAGAUAUCAGGAGGAACACCAAUGGCGAAGGCAGCUCACUGGGACGGUAUUGACGCUGAGACGCGAAAGCGUGGGGAGCAAACAGG